AUGGAGCGCAACGAAAGUAUCGCACGUCGUCUCCAACCCAUCCACCUGAUCAUCGAUCGUUCUCGACACAUGGUCCAGCCGAUGCGUAUGCCGCCGCCGCAGCCCUACGAGUACGACGACUACGACCCCACGAGGGGCACGAUCUCCUGCUUCACGGACCACGGCCUCGCCGAUGACCCCAUCUCGGCCGCCACGCUCGAGGCCCUCCGCGUCAUCCUCGUCGGCCACUACGACGAAGCGUUCCGGCGGCUGCCCGUCGAGGACAUGCCGGACGGUCUCGACCUGACCCAGCUCGCCGACCGCGGCGGCUUCUGCCUCGGCCUCCUCGAUCCCGUUACCAACAUCGUCCUCAAUACCAUCUCCCUCCUCCCACACGGAUUCGAGUUCGAGGCAAACCCUAGCCCGGCGCCGUCCGGUCCAGGACGCAGGAUGCCGUCGGGCCGCCGAAACGAGAGCAGAGAUGCAUGGCACGGCGUCGCGUGCAGGUCCAGCGGGUGCCUCCUCGAGUUCAUGAGGGCCUACUUCGGACUGCUCAGCGAGGAGCAAGCCGGGCGGUACCUCGUCUGGGCGCGUGCCGACAUCGCCAUGGCGGUUCUGCUCGUCGAGCACGAGCUCUACAUCGCCCGGCCUGCGCCGCCGGACCCUGGCUCUGGGAGGACGCGGCAGUCUCUCAGGCUCGCGGCUAUGCACAUGCAACACCCUUCGCCGGACAGCCUCGUGUCGCUCGCGACGGCGUGGCUUCCACCGCAGAAGCUCGAGAUACUUGCCCCCAUCCUACGACACGACGGCGGUCGGAAUAGGCUGGCUGUCCAAGACGUAAAGAACAUCCUCCACGUGCUGCGCCACCAAGACGACAUCUCCGCCAUGGCUACAUUGCAGUCACCGCCGCCGCUUGAAGAAGGCACUACGAGCUGCAUCUACCUUGGAGAUGGCCGGAUCGCGUACACCACCAUUGUCCAGCGAGCCGGCGACCACAUCGCAUCUCUACGGCGUCUUCAAGACAUGCAGUCCACGCUAAUCUCUUACUCCAUGGCACCAUCGUGGGCGACACGCACGACGGCGGGUCCGCGCGACUCCCCUUGCGCGUACAUGGGAUGUCUCGGCGUGGACAACGCCCGAAAAUGCCCGUACGUAAGGUCUCUGGAGAUGUCCCUCCUGGGCACCAUCCAUGGAUUCUACCUCAGGGCGCUCGCCAUGCUGCCAAGCUAUGCCGCGCGCCACCAUGUACGCGGCAUCCUCCUCGCCGGCCACUGCUACGGCCCUAUGGACCCUGUCUCCAACAUCAUCCUGAGCACCGUCUGGUAUGACGCGAACUUCCCGCUCCCCGUGGCUGAUCGUGGGAUGCAGGCGCACGACAUCCUUGACACCCUCACCAUGCUCAGGGUGGUCACUAGCUCCCUGCACGGCCUCAUAGCUCUCCUGCACGCCAACUCCGGCAAGCAUCUGCCGUUGCACGAGAUCUUGAAGUACCUCUGCUACAGGAAGUGCGACUUGGCCACCAUGUUACAGCCACAUCUACACCGGAGCUCUCCCAACCCUUUUGCCAGCGCCGCCGCUGCUGCUCGUCACCCGCAAGCGUCCGCUUGGGCAACAUUUCUUUCAUCAUUGGCACCGACGAAGCUAGACCAGAUACGGUCCUCGAUGAUUAGUGCCACUGCCAACAACACUGCGCUUUCUUACGAGUCUUUGACCCAGAUAUACAACAUCCUCAGAGAGGAAACCCGGACGGCGAUGAUUCUGCCGGCUCCCAGACUCUGUCGGACGGCGGUGAGCAUUCUCACAAGAAAGAGGGAGGCCUAUGCUCACCAGCAGAGCUUCAUUCGUGGUAGGAUUGAACAGCUACUGCUGGAAUACGCGCGUCGCCAUCCUUCAGAAACAAAAUAUGAUCUGGAUUUUAUAUGCGGUGUAGCCGUAACAGUAACCGGUCACCAGGAUCAAUGCUACCAUGUCAAUUUCAUGGCAGCUACCAAAUCGACAUCCAAGAACACACUUUUCUUUGCCGAGUUUUGGUGGGCAUAUCAAGAUCAGUCAAAGCCUUCCGUAUGCUGCCCUCUGCCCCAACCGUAUACCAUGGGUCGUUGCUACUACGGCCAGGAGUCUGCUUGUAAGCUCGCCUAUCCGGAUGACUCCAUCGACUAUUUCUCACGCGACAUUACUCAUGGCGGACUAGAUGACACGGAAGGCAUACUAGACACGGACUUUUUGUACUUCGACUCCGAGAGGGACGUCGAACUUGCCAAGGUCUUGGAGAGGAUGGGCAAGAAAGAAGAGGUCAUGCAAAGGUCCUCUACUGGAAGGCGUGCUGAAUGGACCGCCGCUCAAUGUGAUCAACCAUUUGACAUCUGCCUCCUCCGUGGUGAUGGUAAAUGCUCCGGUGGACGGCUCGGCCAAGACCAACCGGCCGUGAUCAAGAUUAAUGCUUACACGGCCUCCAGCGGCGGGAUUCACCAUGACCUCCGCAUGCCUGGGUGGCCAAUGGUUAAAGCACAAUCAGAGAUGAUGGCCACCGCCGAUCUCGUCGCCACACACGGUGAGCUAUCGCUUGGUACCAGCCUUUGUGCCGAUGAAUAUAGUCAUGCUCAUUGUUUUGUGACGUGCGGGCAUGAGUUCGAGUCGAGGCCCCAGCUUAAUUCUAGUGAGUUUUUACAUUCAACGUCUGCAAAUGGGCCGGCCCGUUUUGCGCGCUCUUCAGCGAAGGCUUUUCUGUUUGCCGCUCGCGAGCAUUCAAUAGGACCUUUCCUCGCGUUCAUCGAGCAGCCGCGAACCCUCUCGCUGAAGGGGCGACCGUGA
rnacentral:rRNA from 1 species